rnacentral:misc_RNA from 1 species
CCCCUGAUAUUAUUCUGGCCUUCCUCUUCGUAACGGCCAUCAUCAUAGACCCAAAAAUGAGUGUCACGCGGACAUUGGACAUUUGCUAGUUUUAGCACCCUCAGUUCAAGUUUGGUGAUUUCCCGGCCAUUAAUAUAAACUUCAGUGUUCCCACUGCUUGCACCUGGACUGAGUUUUCCUGUAAAAUUUAAGUUUGAACUUAUGAUUCUAUCUGGCCUUUCCCCCUCCUUUCCCCAGAGACCAGAUUCCUUAUCAUACCAAUAUCUACCUGGCUUCAGUUUUCGUGGAGGUAAUGGGCAUCCAAGUAAUUCUGCCAUCUCUUCUGG